rnacentral:rRNA from 1 species
AGAGUUUGAUCAUGGCUCAGGAUGAACGCUAGCGGCAGGCUUAAUACAUGCAAGUCGUGGGGCAGCGCAGGUAGCAAUACUGGGCGGCGACCGGCAAACGGGUGCGGAACACGUACGCAACCUUCCUUUAAGUGGGGGAUAGCCCAGGGAAACUUGGAUUAAUACCCCGUACGAUUGAGGUGUGGCAUCACACUUUAAUGAAAGCUACGGCACUUGAAGAUGGGCGUGCGGCUGAUUAGGUAGUUGGCGGGGUAACGGCCCACCAAGCCAACGAUCAGUAACUGGUGUGAGAGCACGACCAGUCACACGGGCACUGAGACACGGGCCCGACUCCUACGGGAGGCAGCAGUAAGGAAUAUUGGUCAAUGGACGCAAGUCUGAACCAGCCAUGCCGCGUGGAGGAUGAAGGCCCUCUGGGUUGUAAACUUCUUUUAUUGGGGAAGAAACCACUCUUUUCUAAGGGUGUUGACGGUACCCAUUGAAUAAGCACCGGCUAACUCCGUGCCAGCAGCCGCGGUAAUACGGAGGGUGCAAGCGUUAUCCGGAUUCACUGGGUUUAAAGGGUGCGUAGGUGGGCAGGUAAGUCAGUGGUGAAAUCUCUAAGCUUAACUUAGAAACUGCCGUUGAUACUAUCUGUCUUGAAUGUAGUGGAGGUGAGCGGAAUAUGUCAUGUAGCGGUGAAAUGCUUAGAUAUGACAUAGAACACCCAUUGCGAAGGCAGCUCGCUACACUAUUAUUGACACUGAGGCACGAAAGCGUGGGGAUCAAACAGGAUUAGAUACCCUAGUAGUCC